GGUUAAGUUAGAAAGGGCGCACGGUGGAUGCCUUGACACUAGGAGUCGAUGAAGGACGGGACUAACGCCGAUAUGCUUCGGGGAGCUGUAAGUAAGCUUUGAUCCGAAGAUUUCCGAAUGGGGAAACCCACUAUACGUAAUGGUAUGGUAUCCUUACCUGAAUACAUAGGGUAUGGAAGACAGACCCAGGGAACUGAAACAUCUAAGUACCUGGAGGAAGAGAAAGCAAAUGCGAUUUCCUGAGUAGCGGCGAGCGAAACGGAAUCUAGCCCAAACCAAGAGGCUUGCCUCUUGGGGUUGUAGGACAUUCUAUACGGAGUUACAAAGGAACGAGGUAGACGAAGCGACCUGGAAAGGUCCGUCGUAGAGGGUAACAACCCCGUAGUCGAAACUUCGUUCUCUCUUGAAUGUAUCCUGAGUACGGCGGAACACGUGAAAUUCCGUCGGAAUCUGGGAGGACCAUCUCCCAAGGCUAAAUACUCCCUAGUGAUCGAUAGUGAACCAGUACCGUGAGGGAAAGGUGAAAAGCACCCCGGAAGGGGAGUGAAAGAGAUCCUGAAACCGUGUGCCUACAAAUAGUCAGAGCCCGUUAAUGGGUGAUGGCGUGCCUUUUGUAGAAUGAACCGGCGAGUUACGAUCCCGUGCGAGGUUAAGUUGAAGAGACGGAGCCGCAGCGAAAGCGAGUCUGAAUAGGGCGUUUAGUACGUGGUCGUAGACCCGAAACCAGGUGAUCUACCCAUGUCCAGGGUGAAGUUCAGGUAACACUGAAUGGAGGCCCGAACCCACGCACGUUGAAAAGUGCGGGGAUGAGGUGUGGGUAGCGGAGAAAUUCCAAUCGAACCUGGAGAUAGCUGGUUCUCCCCGAAAUAGCUUUAGGGCUAGCCUUAAGUGUAAGAGUCUUGGAGGUAGAGCACUGAUUGAACUAGGGGUCCUCAUCGGAUUACCGAAUUCAGUCAAACUCCGAAUGCCAAUGACUUAUCCUUAGGAGUCAGACUGCGAGUGAUAAGAUCCGUAGUCAAGAGGGAAACAGCCCAGAUCGCCAGCUAAGGUCCCAAAGUGUGUAUUAAGUGGAAAAGGAUGUGGAGUUGCUUAGACAACUAGGAUGUUGGCUUAGAAGCAGCCACCAUUUAAAGAGUGCGUAAUAGCUCACUAGUCGAGUGACUCUGCGCCGAAAAUGUACCGGGGCUAAAUACACCACCGAAGCUGCGAAUUGAUACCAAUGGUAUCAGUGGUAGGGGAGCGUUCUAAGUGCAGUGAAGUCAGACCGGAAGGACUGGUGGAGCGCUUAGAAGUGAGAAUGCCGGUAUGAGUAGCGAAAGACGGGUGAGAAUCCCGUCCACCGAAUGCCUAAGGUUUCCUGAGGAAGGCUCGUCCGCUCAGGGUUAGUCAGGACCUAAGCCGAGGCCGACAGGCGUAGGCGAUGGACAACAGGUUGAUAUUCCUGUACCACCUCUUUAUCGUUUGAGCAAUGGAGGGACGCAGAAGGAUAGAAGAAGCGUGCGAUUGGUUGUGCACGUCCAAGCAGUUAGGCUGAUAAGUAGGCAAAUCCGCUUAUCGUGAAGGCUNNNNNNNNNNNNNNNNNNNNNNNNNNNNNNNNNNNNNNNNNNNNNNNNNNNNNNNNNNNNNNNNNNNNNNNNNNNNNNNNNNNNNUUAUCGUGAAGGCUGAGCUGUGAUGGGGAAGCUCCUUAUGGAGCGAAGUCUUUGAUUCCCCGCUGCCAAGAAAAGCUUCUAGCGAGAUAAAAGGUGCCUGUACCGCAAACCGACACAGGUAGGCGAGGAGAGAAUCCUAAGGUGUGCGAGAGAACUCUGGUUAAGGAACUCGGCAAAAUGACCCCGUAACUUCGGGAGAAGGGGUGCUUUCUUAACGGAAAGCCGCAGUGAAUAGGCCCAAGCGACUGUUUAGCAAAAACACAGGUCUCUGCGAAGCCGUAAGGCGAAGUAUAGGGGCUGACACCUGCCCGGUGCUGGAAGGUUAAGGAGAGGGGUUAGCGUAAGCGAAGCUCUGAACUGAAGCCCCAGUAAACGGCGGCCGUAACUAUAACGGUCCUAAGGUAGCGAAAUUCCUUGUCGGGUAAGUUCCGACCCGCACGAAAGGUGUAACGAUUUGGGCACUGUCUCAACCAGAGACUCGGUGAAAUUAUAGUACCUGUGAAGAUGCAGGUUACCCGCGACAGGACGGAAAGACCCCGUGGAGCUUUACUGUAGCCUGAUAUUGAAUUUUGGUACAGUUUGUACAGGAUAGGCGGGAGCCAUUGAAACCGGAGCGCUAGCUUCGGUGGAGGCGCUGGUGGGAUACCGCCCUGACUGUAUUGAAAUUCUAACCUACGGGUCUUAUCGACCCGGGAGACAGUGUCAGGUGGGCAGUUUGACUGGGGCGGUCGCCUCCUAAAGUGUAACGGAGGCGCCCAAAGGUUCCCUCAGAAUGGUUGGAAAUCAUUCGUAGAGUGCAAAGGCAUAAGGGAGCUUGACUGCGAGACCUACAAGUCGAGCAGGGACGAAAGUCGGGCUUAGUGAUCCGGUGGUUCCGCAUGGAAGGGCCAUCGCUCAACGGAUAAAAGCUACCCCGGGGAUAACAGGCUUAUCUCCCCCAAGAGUCCACAUCGACGGGGAGGUUUGGCACCUCGAUGUCGGCUCAUCGCAUCCUGGGGCUGUAGUCGGUCCCAAGGGUUGGGCUGUUCGCCCAUUAAAGCGGUACGCGAGCUGGGUUCAGAACGUCGUGAGACAGUUCGGUCCCUAUCCGUCGUGGGCGUAGGAAAUUUGAGAGGAGCUGUCCUUAGUACGAGAGGACCGGGAUGGACGCACCGCUGGUGUACCAGUUGUUCUGCCAAGGGCAUAGCUGGGUAGCUAUGUGCGGAAGGGAUAAGUGCUGAAAGCAUCUAAGCAUGAAGCCCCCCUCAAGAUGAGAUUUCCCAUAGCGUAAGCUAGUAAGAUCCCUGAAAGAUGAUCAGGUUGAUAGGUUCGAGGUGGAAGCAUGGUGACAUGUGGAGCUGACGAAUACUAAUAGAUCGAGGACUUAACCAU
rnacentral:rRNA from 1 species